rnacentral:rRNA from 1 species
CUACGGGUCGCAGCAGUGAGGAAUAUUGCACAAUGGGGGGAACCCUGAUACAGCAACGCCGCGUGGAGGAUGACGCAUUUCGGUGUGUAAACUCCUUUUAUAUGUCAAGAAAAUGACGGUAGCAUAUGAAUAAGCACCGGCUAACUCCGUGCCAGCAGCCGCGGUAAUACGGAGGGUGCAAGCGUUACUCGGAAUCACUGGGCGUAAAGGACGCGUAGGCGGGUUGGAAGGUCAGGUGUGAAAUCCUACAGCUUAACUGUAGAACUGCACUUGAAACUUCUAAUCUAGAGUAUGGGAGGGGGAGAUGGAAUUAGUGGUGUAGGGGUAAAAUCCGUAGAUAUCACUAGGAAUACCUAAAGCGAAGGCGAUCUCCUGGAACAUUACUGACGCUAAGGCGUGAAAGCGUGGGGAGCAAACAGGAUUAGAUACCCUUGUAGUC